rnacentral:rRNA from 1 species
AUUGAACGCUGGCGGCAUGCCUUACACAUGCCAGUCGAACGGUAACGGGCCUUCGGGUGCCGACGAGUGGCGAACGGGUGAGUAAUACAUCGGAACGUGCCCGAUCGUGGGGGAUAACGAGGCGAAAGCUUUGCUAAUACCGCAUACGAUCUACGGAUGAAAGCAGGGGACCGCAAGGCCUUGCGCGGACGGAGCGGCCGAAGGCAGAUUAGGUAGUUGGUGGGAUAAAAGCUUACCAAGCCGACGAUCUGUAGCUGGUCUGAGAGGAUGAUCAGCCACACUGGGACUGAGACACGGCCCAGACUCCUACGGGAGGCAGCAGUGGGGAAUUUUGGACAAUGGGCGCAAGCCUGAUCCAGCCAUGCCGCGUGCAGGAUGAAGGCCUUCGGGUUGUAAACUGCUUUUGUACGGAACGAAAAGCCUUCUUUUAAUACAGGAGGGUCAUGACGGUACCGUAAGAAUAAGCACCGGCUAACUACGUG